GGGGAAUAUUGUACAAUGGGGGAAACCCUGAUGCAGCGACGCCGCGUGGAGGAAGAAGGUCUUCGGAUUGUAAACUCCUGUUGUUGGGGAAGAUAAUGACGGUACCCAACAAGGAAGUGACGGCUAACUACGUGCCAGCAGCCGCGGUAAAACGUAGGUCACAAGCGUUGUCCGGAAUUACUGGGUGUAAAGGGAGCGCAGGCGGGAAGACAAGUUGGAAGUGAAAUCUAUGGGCUCAACCCAUAAACUGCUUUCAAAACUGUUUUUCUUGAGUAGUGCAGAGGUAGGCGGAAUUCCCGGUGUAGCGGUGGAAUGCGUAGAUAUCGGGAGGAACACCAGUGGCGAAGGCGGCCUACUGGGCACCAACUGACGCUGAGGCUCGAAAGUGUGGGUAGCAAACAGGAUUAGAUACCCUGGUAGUCCACACCGUAAACGAUGAUUACUAGGUGUUGGAGGAUUGACCCCUUCAGUGCCGCAGUUAACACAAUAAGUAAUCCACCUGGGGAGUACGACCGCAAGGUUGAAACUCAAAGGAAUUGACGGGGGCCCGCACAAGCAGUGGAGUAUGUGGUUUAAUUCGACGCAACGCGAAGAACCUUACCAAGUCUUGACAUCCCUUGACAGGCAUAGAAAUAUGUUUUCUCUUCGGAGCAAGGAGACAGGUGGUGCAUGGUUGUCGUCAGCUCGUGUCGUGAGAUGUUGGGUUAAGUCCCGCAACGAGCGCAACCCUUAUGGUCAGUUACUACGCAAGAGGACUCUGGCCAGACUGCCGUUGACAAAACGGAGGAAGGUGGGGAUGACGUCAAAUCAUCAUGCCCUUUAUGACUUGGGCUACACACGUACUACAAUGGCGUUAAACAAAGAGAAGCGAGACCGCGAGGUGGAGCAAAACUCAGAAACAACGUCCCAGUUCGGACUGCAGGCUGCAACUCGCCUGCACGAAGUCGGAAUUGCUAGUAAUCGUGGAUCAGCAUGCCACGGUGAAUACGUUCCCG
rnacentral:rRNA from 1 species